AGAUGUCUCUUCACGAGCAUACUCUCUCCUCCAACCCUCAACCCUCAACCCUCAACCCCCAACUCUCUCCUCAAACCUUAAACUCUGGAAAAUUAAUAAAUCCAAAUUGCAUCAACCAAUUUCAUCCAUCAAUUAUGAGAUUUCAAAUCUCAAAUUAAAAUCAAUCAAACGACGCUUCUUCUCUUUCGUAGUCAUGUGUCAUUUAUCCUUGCUCACAAAAUUACAGUUUCUUUCUCAUUUUCCUUCUCCAAAAAAGUCAGUUUCUAAAUUUUUUGUUUUUCCUUUCCUACUCCCUUCGCCAAUUCAAUCCAUAUUUAUUUCUCUACCCCCGUCUUCCUCCAGUUCUGAUUUUUCGAGAUUAAUUAAAUUGCAAAGCAGGCGAGACUAAUUAACAGUAAUUUUGCAAAGCAUAUGAAUUCCAAAUUUAUGAACAGAUAAAAACUUGAAAUCAUGGCGGCCGAAGCUUCAAAGUCGACUUCAUCCGCCAUCUUACAUCGGCAGUGUUAUUAGUUUGACAUCUAAGAGUGAGAUCAGAUAUGAAGGCAUUCUCUACAGCGUUAACACUGAAGAAUCCAGUAUUGACCUUCGAAACGAUUAAAGGGAAAAGAAUAAGAUUCAAAUAUCGACAACAUAGCAAAGGAAUAGGGCCAUGGGUAUGGAAUGCAGGACGUCAACAAAAUGAGGAUAAAAUGUUUGUUUCUUAUAUUAGGUGUACUGAACAUUAAAAGCUAAAAAAUGAAUAAUUUUAGAUUGUAACUAUUCUGUUUGAUUUUAUCUGUUAUGUUUGGUAUAACUAUUAAAGAAUGUAAUACUAAAACUGUUGUUCAAAGAAUUUAACUUCUAUGUAACUAUUAGAAUAAUGAGACUUCUCUGUAAAUACUACGAGUACAAAUUAUUAUUCAAUAAAACAAUUUUUUUUUUAAAAAACAAA